GUCUCUCACUGGCUUGGAGCCAGCAAGCCUCAGGGUCCUCCCCAGCAGGGAUUUCAGAUGUUCCAAGGAACAGACAGGAACACGGCCUCAGAAAGAGAAUGGGACCCCCAGCUGUCUCCAUAAGCCAUGAAUGGAAAAGUCUUCCGAUAAGAGGAGAGAUCUGUGCAGGACAGCAAGAUGUCUUAACUGAUGACAGCAUUUGCCUGAGGACUUGAGUGUUAUCCCCGGAGCCCACGGUGGAAGGAGAGGACCAUCUCCAGAAGGUUGCCCUCUGACCUUCAUAUGUGCACUGCGACACACAUGUACACACAUGGUAGACUGCCCUGCUCUAGUGAACGGCCCCACACUCAUGUACAUGAGUAAAGUGCUAAUUGAGCUCAAUGGCUUAAUUCAUAAAAUGAAGAGAGCAUAAUAGUGCAAGAGCAACACAUUGGGGUAAGUUUCCAGGAGGGAGAGGAGAUGCUGUGCAGUAGAUAUGACCAAGACACUGCAUACAUG